GUCGUACGCCGGGCCUCCACGAGGAAGUCGAUCGGAAGACCGACUAGACCUCGACGACGAAAAUACCGUGCCCGACUCGGCACGGCGAGUCGCGACCACUGCGGCGAGGAAAAGUCCGGCCGGAGUGACGGUCGCCGCGAAGACACUCGACACGAGUCCUCCGACGCGUCUCGUUCGAACUUACCCACGGUACUUCG
rnacentral:rRNA from 1 species